GAUUACUAGUGCAUUAAAUUCUGAAAAGAAAAAGAAAAAGAAAAUUGCAGGUUGUGACCAUUCAAAGAAAGACAUUUUGGGUAUAAUAAGAUCACACUAGGUUUUCCCUACAAAACUCCAACAUAAAGCAGAAUUUCUUAAAAGAUGCGGUUUGAAGGACCCAUGGUACUCUUCAGAUAGAGGCACCUGACCUGGUAGGACCAAAAAAAAAAAAAGAAGGAUUAGACAUCAAAUGCAUAAAUGCCAAGAGAAGCAAAUACCAAAACAGACCAUACAAGAAAGAUCAAGGAAAUAGAAAACUACCCGCAGAUAAAAAAGGGGGGGAAGGGGGGGAUAUAUUCUUAAUUAUAGCAAGAAAAACAGUUUACUUUUCAUUAUUCGAACAAAAAAACAGUGUAUAUUUAAAUGGUCAAGUCGAUUUAGUGUUUUCUAAAUUUACUUCCCAGAGGAAAACAUUAAACAUCUAAACCAACUUAGAAGAAAUACAAGAGAUGGCAGGGUUACAAGAAUAAUGUGCAGCAGAAUCUUAUGGAGAUAGUUAUACAGAAGAAGUUGAGGUUCAACAACCUCAUAUUGAACUCAAAAGUACAAGUAGUGAAGCAAAAAACAGUGAGUUUGUAUAAAACAUUACCAACUACAACACCAAAAUUGACCACAGAACCAGUAGGUAAAAAUAAGGUUAGAGAUAGAAACUUACAUUCUGCCAGUUUUUCUUCAACAAUGAGACAAGGAAGUUAACACUCAUUUGAACAUUCUGGAAGAUCUGCUUCUCCUCCAUUGAAAGGUUUCCGACAGCAACUCCCAUGCAAAGCACCUUCUUCAAUUGGAACUUCACUGUUGCCUUAGUCUCGUUGACUUUGGACUCC
rnacentral:lncRNA from 1 species